UCCGGUAGCUAACUUUCUGCAGCUCUCACAUGGUCCCCCACUGAAGCUAAGCAUGGUUGUGCCUGGUCAGUACCUGGAUGGGAAAUCACAUGGGGAAACUAGCUUGCUGCUGGAA
rnacentral:rRNA from 1 species